UGUCCCAACUGCUGCAUGGAC
rnacentral:piRNA from 1 species